AGCAGCCGCCACGGGAAUACGUAGGGUGCAAGCGUUAAUCGGAAUUACUGGGCGUAAAGCGUGCGCAGGCGGUUAUGCAAGACAGAUGUGAAAUCCCCGGGCUCAACCCGGGAACUGCAUUUGUGACUGCAUAGCUGGAGUGCGGCAGAGGGGGAUGGAAUUCCGCGUGUAGCAGUGAAAUGCGUAGAUAUGCGGAGGAACACCGAUGGCGAAGGCAAUCCCCUGGUCCUGCACUGACGCUCAUGCACGAAAGCGUGGGGAGCAAACAGGAUUAGAUACCCCCGUAGUCCCUGUCUCUUAUAC
rnacentral:rRNA from 1 species